rnacentral:rRNA from 1 species
CCUACGGGUGGCAGCAGUGGGGAAUAUUGCGCAAUGGGGGCAACCCUGACGCAGCAACGCCGCGUGCAGGAAGAAGGUCUUCGGAUUGUAAACUGUUGUCGCAGGGGAAGAAGACAGUGACGGUACCCUGUGAGAAAGUCACGGCUAACUACGUGCCAGCAGCCGCGGUAAUACGUAGGUGACAAGCGUUGUCCGGAUUUACUGGGUGUAAUGGGCGCGUAGGCGGGAUAGCAAGUCAGUCGUGAAAUGCCGAGGCUUAACCUCGGAGCUGCGAUUGAAACUGUUAUUCUUGAGUAUCGGAGAGGAAAGCGGAAUUCCUAGUGUAGCGGGGAAAGGCGUAGAUAGUAGGAGGAACACCAGUGGCGAAGGCGGCUUGCUGCAGCGGAACUGACGCUGAUGCUCGAAAGCGCGGGUAUCGAACAGGAUUAGAUACCCCAGUAGUC